rnacentral:rRNA from 1 species
UACGAAGGGGGCUAGCGUUGUUCGGAAUCACUGGGCGUAAAGGGCGCGUAGGCGGCUUUGUAAGUCGGGGGUGAAAGCCUGUGGCUCAACCACAGAAUUGCCUUCGAUACUGCAUGGCUUGAGACCGGAAGAGGUAAGUGGAACUGCGAGUGUAGAGGUGAAAUUCGUAGAUAUUCGCAAGAACACCAGUGGCGAAGGCGGCUUACUGGUCCGGUUCUGACGCUGAGGCGCGACAGCGUGGGGGAGCAAACAGG